rnacentral:ribozyme from 1 species
UUGCAAGUUCAAGGUCAUAGCAGAAGUGCUCAUGAUGCAGCCUGCCAGAUUCCAAUGAAUCUGGAAAUUCUGCU